CCAAUAGCGUAUAUUAAAGUUGUUGCAGUUAAAAAGCUCGUAGUUGAAUUUCGGGGUUAGUAGGUUGGUCGUGCCACUGGUAUGUACUGGCCUUACUGAUUCCUCCUUCUUGAAGAACUGUGAUGUCAUUUAUUUGGUGUUGCAGGGAAACAGGACUGUUACUUUGAAAAAAUUAGAGUGUUUAAAGCAGGCUAACGCCUGAAUACAUUAGCAUGGAAUAAUGAAAUAGGACGUUUGAUCCUAUUUUGUUGGUUUCUAGGAUUGACGUAAUGAUUAAUAGGGAUAGUUGGGGGCAUUAGUAUUCAAUUGUCAGAGGUGAAAUUCUUGGAUUUAUUGAAGACUGACUACUGCGAAAGCAUUUGCCAAGGAUGUUUUCAUUAAUCAAGAACGAAAGUUAGGGGAUCGAAGACGAUCAGAUACCGUCGUAGUCUUAACCAUAAACUAUGCCGACUAGGGAUCGGAUGAUGUUAAUUUUUUAAUGACUCAUUCGGCGCCUUACG
rnacentral:rRNA from 1 species